GAUGAACGCUGGCGGCGUGCUUAACACAUGCAAGUCGAACGAAACACUUUAACCUGAUUCUUCGGCUGAAGGUUUUUGUGACUGAGUGGCGGACGGGUGAGUAACCCUUGGGUAACCUGCCUCAUACAGGGGGAUAACAGUUAGAAAUGACUGCUAAUACCGCAUAAGACCACAGAGCCGCAUGGCUCGGUGGGGAAAACUCCGGUGGUAUGAGAUGGACCCGCGUCUGAUUAGGUAGUUGGUGGGGUAACGGCCUACCAAGCCAACGAGCAGUACCCGACCGGGGAGGGUGACCGGCCAGAAUGGGACUGAGGCCCGGCCCCAACUCCGACGGGAGGCAGCAGUGGGGUAUACUGCACGAUGGAGGCAACACUGAUGCAGCCGCGCCGCGGGAGCGAAGAAGUAGGUUGGUAAGUAAAGCUCUAUCAGCAGGGAAGAAAAUGACGGUACCUGGAGAAGAAGCACCGGCUAAAUACGUG
rnacentral:rRNA from 1 species